rnacentral:rRNA from 1 species
CCUACGGGAGGCAGCAGUGGGGAAUAUUGCACAAUGGGGGAAACCCUGAUGCAGCGAAGCCGCGUGAGUGAAGAAGUAAUUCGUUAUGUAAAGCUCUAUCAGCAGGGAAGAAAAUGACGGUACCUGAGUAAGAAGCCGCGGCUAACUACGUGACAGCAGCCGCGGGAAUACGUAGGGGCGAAGCGCUAUCCGGAUUUACUGGGUGUAAAGGGAGCGUAGACGGCAGUGCAAGUCUGGAGUGAAAGGCGGGGGCUCAACCCCCGGACUGCUCUGGAAACUGUACGGCUGGAGUGCAGGAGAGGUAAGUGGAAUUCCUAGUGUAGCGGUGAAAUGCGUAGAUAUUAGGAGGAACACCAGUGGCGAAGGCGGCUUACUGGACUGUAACUGACGUUGAGGCUCGAAAGCGUGGGGAGCAAACAGGAUUAGAUACCCUGGUAGUC